CGAGAAUUUAAGGAACUGCAUGAAGAGCAAAAAUACAGAAACACAAUCCAGCAAGAUGGGACAAUCUCACCACACAGCACAGCGGCCACAGAAUGGAAAACAUGGAACACUGUAGGUGGAUCAGGGGAUGCAUCACAAAUAAUGAAAGAUCCAAACUUACCUUUACUCUGUACCAAGCAGCAUUAUCAUGGAUUCAAUGGGAAAAGCGCUUCCCCCCAUUUAGAAAAGGAAAGUAAUUGGAGGUCCCAGAAUUUGGAGUGUGGUUUCGAUGCGACACUGAAGACUCCAGAUUUUCAAAGCUAAACCAAGAAUAAGGGAGAAGUUCUGAUCAGUCUGUGCACAAAUUCCUGAAGAACAGAAACGUAUGUUGACUAUGGGCCAACUGAACACAAUAAUGGCAUCUUGUGCAAUAUUCUUUUUUUUUAAAUACUGCAUGUAGCCCUGUACUUUAUUUGUUGCAGAAAUAAAUCCCAGAAGUCUCAUUUAUUGAAUGUUGAAUGUGCAAGCAGAAGCAAGGUGUACUUGUCGAAAAACAUAUUUUGAAAAUUUAACAUUCAGCACUAUUACAAUAAACAUU